rnacentral:tRNA from 1 species
GUUUUAAUAAUUUAAUAAAAAUAAUGAUCUUGUAAAUCAAAAAUAAGUCUACUUUUAAAACU